GGGGGAGGGGGGGGGGGGGGUGGGGGCGGGGGGGGCGGGGGGGAGGGGCUGCUUGCCCUUGUGGGUUUGGGGUACUCGAGUUGCGGACGGGUGAGGUACCCGUUGGUGGUCUGCCCCCCACUUGGGGGUUAGGCUUGGGAACUUGUUCUAAUUCCCGUUGAGGCUGGCGGUUGGUUGCUGUUGUUGUAUACGGUUUUCUUGUGUUUUUGGGUGGGCUCGCGGCCUAUCAGCUGGUUGGUGGGGUAAUGGCCUUCCAAGGCGGCGACGGGUAGCCGGCCUGAGAGGGUGGACGGCCACAUUGGGACUGAGAUACGGCCCAGACUCCUACGGGAGGAAGCAGUGGGGAAUAUUGCACAAUGGGCGGAAGCCUGAUGCAGCGACGCCGCGUGGGGGAUGACGGCCUUCGGGUUGUAAACUCCUUUCGACCGCGAGGAAGCCACCUGGUUGGAAGGGUGGUGACGGUAGUGGUAGAAGAAGCACCGGCUAACUACGUG
rnacentral:rRNA from 1 species